CCUACGAGGGGCAGCAGUGAGGAAUAUUGGUCAAUGGGCGCGAGCCUGAACCAGCCAAGUAGCGUGAAGGAUGACUGCCCUACGGGAUGUAAACUUCUUUUAUAAAGGAAUAAAGUGAGGCACGUGUGCCUUUGUGUAGGUACUUUAUGAAUAAGGAUCGGCUAACUCCGUGCCAGCAGCCGCGGUAAUACGGAGGAUCCGAGCGUUCUCCGGAUUUAUUGGGUUUAAAGGGAUCGUAGAUGGGUUGUUAAGUCAGUUGUUAAAGUUUGCGGCUCAACCGUAAAAUUGCAAUUGAUACUGGCAGUCUUGAUUACAGUUGAGGUAGGCGGCAUUCGUGGUGUAGCGGUU
rnacentral:rRNA from 1 species